rnacentral:rRNA from 1 species
CCUAUAUUUUCGUAUAUUUAUAUAGUGUUAACAUAAUUCAUAUUACUAUAUUUAGUAUAUGAAAUUUUACUUUGAGAAAAUUAGAGUGCUUAAAGCAGGCUUAUAUGCCUUGAAUACUCCAGCAUGGAAUAAUAUAAAAAGAUUUUUAUCUUUUUUUUAUUGGUUCUAAGAUAAUAAUAAUGAUUAAUAGGGACAGUUGGCGGCAUUUGUAUUUAACAGUCAGAGGUGAAAUUCUUAGAUUUGUUAAAGACAAACUAAUGCGAAAGCAUUUGCCAAGGAUGUUUUCAUUAAUCAAGAACGAAAGUUAGGGGAUCGAAGACGAUCAGAUACCGUCGUAGUCUUAACCAUAAACUAUGCCAACUAGAGAUUGGAGGUUGUUCCUUACUCCUCCUCAC